rnacentral:rRNA from 1 species
GACGAACGCUGGCGGCGUGCUUAACACAUGCAAGUCGAACGGAAAGGCCCUGCUUUUGUGGGGUGCUCGAGUGGCGAACGGGUGAGUAACACGUGAGUAACCUGCCCUUGACUUUGGGAUAACUUCAGGAAACUGGGGCUAAUACCGGAUAGGAGCUCCUGCUGCAUGGUGGGGGUUGGAAAGUUUCGGCGGUUGGGGAUGGACUCGCGGCUUAUCAGCUUGUUGGUGGGGUAGUGGCUUACCAAGGCUUUGACGGGUAGCCGGCCUGAGAGGGUGACCGGCCACAUUGGGACUGAGAUACGGCCCAGACUCCUACGGGAGGCAGCAGGGGGGAAUAUUGCACAAUGGGCGGAAGCCUGAUGCAGCAACGCCGCGUGCGGGAUGACGGCCUUCGGGUUGUAAACCGCUUUCGCCUGUGACGAAGCGUGAGUGACGGUAAUGGGUAAAGAAGCACCAGCUAACUACGUG